CCUACGGGAGGCAGCAGUGAGGAAUAUUGGACAAUGGGCGAGAGCCUGAACCAGCGAAGUCGCGUGAAGGAUGACUGCCCUCUGGGUUGUAAACUUCUUUUAUAUGGGAAUAAAACGAUCCACGUGUGGGAUUUUGUAUGUACCAUAUGAAUAAGGAUCGGCUAACUCCGUGCCAGCAGCCGCGGUAAUACGGAGGAUCCGAGCGUUAUCCGGAUUUAUUGGGUUUAAAGGGGGCGUAGGUGGAUGGUUAAGUCAGUGGUGAAAGUUUGCGGCUCAACCGUAAAAUUGCAGUUGAUACUGGCAUCCUUGAGUACAGUAGAGGUAGGCGGAAUGCGUGGUGUAGCGGUGAAAUGCUUAGAUAUCACGAAGAACUCCGAUUGCGAAGGCAGCCUGCUGGACUGUAACUGACGCUGAGGCUCGAAAGUGUGGGGAUCAAACAGGAUUAGAUACCCCUGUAGUC
rnacentral:rRNA from 1 species